ensembl:lncRNA
AUGGAAUCAUCACUUAACUUCCCUUGCAGGGUAUUUAAUACAGAAGAACCAGCUCCUGUGCCUAUCAAAAAUUCCAGUUUUCCACUUCCCAGUGUGGCUGUUACCACAGGCUCUGCUGGGGAUGAAACCUCUGCUCCCCUCCACAGGUACCCAGCCAUUGGCAUGAGGGGGUUUGGAGAAGUCCUGGGUUUUAGGCAGAUGAGAUAUAACCGGGACAAGCCCCCACAGUGCUCUCACCCUGGUGCUUGCACCCCGGUGCUCACACCCCCAGCGUGGAGCUGCUCAUUCCCAGCCUUGUCCAGGCAGAUGAGAUAUAACCGGGACAAGCCCCCACAGUGCUCUCACCCUGGUGCUUGCACCCCGGUGCUCACACCCCCAGCGUGGAGCUGCUCAUUCCCAGCCUUGUCCAGGCAGAUGAGAUAUAACCGGGACAAGUCCCCACAGUGCUCUCACCCUGGUGCUUGCACCCCGGUGCUCACACCCCCAGCGUGGAGCUGCUCAUUCCCAGCCUUGUCCAGAGUGAACCAAGAGAAAAGGACAAGGGAGACGAGAAAGAAGGACAUGAUUCCGUUAAUUGUAGGUGCAGUAGCUGCAGCAACUGCCUGUUUGGCUAGCGAAAUUAUGCUGCUCAAAUUAAGAAGGAAGAAACUAGAAAGUGCAUGGGCCCGGGAAUCCAUGUUGAAGAAGAAUAACCAGAACCUGUCCCACAGAGUUGAAACUCUGGAAAAAAAUUUCCAAGAAGGCCUGGAGAGCAUUAAGAAUGAGCUUAAGGAUGUCAGAGCGGAGCUGCAGAAGAAUCAAGGAAAUAAGGAGGAGGAUAUUGCAUAUCCUCUGGAAUCCUUCUUGAAGAAGAAAAACCAGGAGCUGUCCCACAAAGUUGCAUCUCUAGAAAAAGAAUCCCAGGAGGGUCUGGAAGCCAUAAAUCAUGAGCUUAAGGAUAUCAGAGCGGAGCUGGAGAAGAACCAAAGAAAGAAGGAAGAGGAUAUUGUAUUGGCCCUGAAAUCCUUCUUGAGGAAGAAAGACCGGCAGCUCUCCCAUAGAUUUGAAACUCUUGAAAAAGAUUUCCUUGAAGGUCUGGAGACCAUAAAGCAUGAGCUUAACAAUGUCAGAGCAGAACUGAAGAAGAAUCAAGGCAAUAAGGAAGAGGAAAGUGCAGAGGACCUGGAAUUUAAGCUGAACAAGAAUAUCCUGCUACUCUCCCAUAGAAUUAAAACUCUGGCAGAAGAUUGA